GAGCGGAAAGGCCCCUUCGGGGGUACUCGAGCGGCGGACGGCUGAGUAACGCGUGGGAACAUGCCCCAAAGUGAGGGAUAACUGCUCGAAAGAGUAGCUAAUACCGCAUAUGAUCUUCGGAUUAAAGGAUUUAUCCGCUUUGGGAGUGGCCUGCGUAUGAUUAGAUAGUUGGUGAGGUAAUGGCUCACCAAGUCGACGAUCAUUAACUGGUCUGAGAGGAUGAUCAGUCAGACUGGAACUGAGACACGGUCCAGACUCCUACGGGAGGCAGCAGUGAGGAAUCUUCCACAAUGGGCGAAAGCCUGAUGGAGCAACGCCGCGUGCAGGAUGAAGGCCUUCGGGUCGUAAACUGCUUUUAUAAGUGAAGAAUAUGACGGUAACUUAUGAAUAAGCACCGGCUAACUACGUG
rnacentral:rRNA from 1 species